rnacentral:lncRNA from 1 species
CACACUAGUAUAUUUCCAGCACCGCCGCGCCUUAAGGGAAAUUGAGUUGACAUGUUUUUCGAGGCAAACACGUUUUUGCAUAUUUGGGUCGUGGAUUUGUUUCCUAAACUCAUUAUUUCCAGUUUAAUAUUAGUUUUCUAUUAUAGCUAGGAUAUUAGGAUAGAUUUUGAUUGAUUCUAGGGUUUACAAUUGCUACUAUUAUUUAAGGUUACUAUACUCAUUCAAUAUUAUCAGAUUCAUUAAAAUUCUUGUGAGAUUAACCUUUUGGUUUUUUAAAGAAUUCCCAAGUUAUUUUCUUAGUUCUUCUUUGAGAUUCAAUUUGACUUAUUAUACAACAAUACAUAGUUGUGUGUGGCGUCUUCUACCGUAUCAAAAAUUGAUUGUACCGACAUUACCGCUUCAAUAUAAGCGAGGGAUCAAGGUGUCGUUGGUUCUCAUUCAACGCAGAAUUCUUAACGCGAACAAUUGUACCGAGAUUAUCGUCUACAUAUAGGCGAGAAGUUAAAAUGUUGUGAGCAAUUCAUCCUACAACUUUGCUAAAAACGAUCCUGGCGACGACUACCUCAAGCAAGAGUACCGUGGAGUCCAUCAAGAUGGCAAUAGAGCUGUCAUGUAGGGAUCCAAGAUGAAAGAUUUGCAAAUGCAGAAGCUAUUCUACAUGGCCAAAG